UACGGAGGGUGCGAGCGUUGUCCGGAAUCAUUGGGCGUAAAGAGCGCGUAGGCGGUCCGGUAAGUCCGCUCUGAAAGUCCGGGGGCUCAACCCCGGGAGGCGGGCGGAUACUGUCGGGCUAGAGUCCGGAAGAGGCGAGUGGAAUUCCUGGUGUAGCGGUGAAAUGCGCAGAUAUCAGGAGGAAUACCGGUGGCGAAAGCGACUCUCUGGACGGCAACUGACGCUGAGGCACGAAAGCGUGGGGAGCAAACAGG
rnacentral:rRNA from 1 species